rnacentral:rRNA from 1 species
GAUGAACGCUGGCGGCGUGCUUAACACAUGCAAGUCGAACGAAGAUGCCGGAGUGCUUGCACUUUGGCAGACUGAGUGGCGGACGGGUGAGUAACGCGUGGGUAACCUGCCUUAUACAGGGGGAUAACAGUUGGAAACGACUGCUAAUACCGCAUAAGCGCACGGUAUCGCAUGAUACAGUGUGAAAAACUCCGGUGGUAUAAGAUGGACCCGCGUCUGAUUAGCUAGUUGGUGAGGUAACGGCCCACCAAGGCGACGAUCAGUAGGGGUUCUGAGAGGAAGGCCCCCCCACAUUGGGACUGAGACACGGCCCAGACUCCUACGGGAGGCAGCAGUGGGGGAUAUUGGACAAUGGGGGAAACCCUGAUGCAGCGACGCGCGUGGAGGAAGAAGGUCUUCGGAUUGUAAACUCC